CUGUAGGGUUGAUUAUUCUUUGAACUUACAAAUGUUUGAGCAGAGAUAUCAUCUUGGAGGUGUUUCGGGUUUGCUAUUAUGAAACCUAAUUGUAACAGAAAACAUGCUUGACUUAAAGAUAUCAAUCACCCCGGAGGAAAUCAUCUUAUUGCCAAAUUGACCAUCUCCAAACCAGCCUGGACCAGUUUGAAACCAGCCUAAGACCACCUGGACCAGUUCUGGAACCAAGCUGGAAUUUCCACCUGGGUUCCUUUGUCAGGAGCCGCACGUCAAGGUGCCUCAGCUCUUUUCACCCAGUACAACCCAUGUCACAGGUACUAAAAAAAGUAGAAAAUGUUGUUUACUGCUGGAUGAAAAAACCGCCAGGAGCAAUUUUUCAGAAGCACCCAAUGGUGACUCUUUCAGGAACUGGGUGGAUCCUUUUUCUGCAUGUCACCUGACCGAAGAACCGUAUAUAUAGAUGUGAAGUUAUGGUUCUGCACUACUUAUCUGGAUAAGCCCUCUGGAGAAACAGCAGGAAAAUACCUGUGGCUUGAAAAGGCACUUCUCAAAGGGACAGGAUUUCAAGUAAUUUAUUGCAUACUUUCACCUGAAGUCCAGUCGUUUAAAGACAUCAAACCUCUGGAUUAUCUUCAACCCCCCAAAGAACCAUGGCUUUGCAAAAACAGUGUAUUGCCCUGGAUGGAAACAGUCUCACUACAGAAGACCUGAUUAGCUUGGGAAAGGGGCUCCUCAGGAUAAAGUUGACCCCAGAGGCAGAGGAAGGAGUGAAGCGGGCUAGAGAAAUUGUUGAUAAUAUCAUUGCACAAGACAAAGGUA